AGAAGCCCAGGGUAUUACGCAAAAAUGAAUUCCACAGCAAAGACCUGUUUGCUUAAAAUGCCGGCGUUCUGGCUGCACACUCCACUGCUGAAUAAAUCCUUGGGUAGUCUGCUCCAAACAGGGCAUCAGUCAAUAAAGGACUUUGUGUACUAGAAACUCUCCAAGACCAU